rnacentral:rRNA from 1 species
UACGGAGGGUGCGAGCGUUGUCCGGAAUCACUGGGCGUAAAGGGCGCGUAGGUGGCCCGCGCAAGCGUGCGGUGAAAGUCCGGGGCUCAACCCCGGAUCGGCCGUGCGGACUGCGGGGCUGGAGCACUGUAGGGGCGGGUGGAAUUCCGGGUGUAGCGGUGGAAUGCGUAGAGAUCCGGAAGAACACCGGUGGCGAAGGCGGCCCGCUGGGCAGUAGCUGACACUGAGGCGCGACAGCGUGGGGAGCAAACAGG